rnacentral:rRNA from 1 species
GAUGAACGCUGACAGAAUGCUUAACACAUGCAAGUCGAUGGGGAAGUGGUGCUUGCACCAUGGCAACCAUGGCGGACGGGUGAGUAACGCGUAAGGGACUUACCUGCAGGACUGGGAUAACAGGGGGAAACUCCUGACAAGACCGGAUAAUGUCAUGGAGCUGCAUGGCUUUAUGAUGAAAGGAGACGCCUGCGGAGAGCCUUGCGUCCUAUUAGCUAGUUGGUGAGGUAAUGGCUCACCAAGGCGAAGAUAGGUAGCCGGCCUGAGAGGGUGGACGGCCACAAGGGGACUGAGAUACGGCCGUUACUCCUACUGGAGGCAGCAGUGGAGAAUAUUGGACAAUGGGGGCAACUCUGAUCCAGCAAUUCUGUGUGCACGAAGAAGGUUUUCGGAUUGUAAAGUGCUUUCAGCAGAGAAGAAGUAAGUGACGGUACCUGCAGAAGAAGCGACGGCUAAAUACGUG